GUAUAUUUUUUUUGUAAAUUUUAAGAUAAAAUAGACAAUAAUAUUACAUAUGUAUUGAAAGACAUGGUUACAUCGAAGAUUGUCUAGUUAAUAAUAUUUCAAUCCAAACUUUAAUACAUUCAAAAUUCUUUUAUAUUUUCAGACAGUUUUUAAAAGAAUUAUCUAUUGCUUUUUUUGGACAACUUGCCAAACAUUAUAAAGACUUUUCAAUGUUACAUCAAUGUAUAAUUGCUGUAAAAAUAUCCGGAUUAAAACGGCGAUUUUUUAAAGAACUAUCUGCUGCUUAUAACAAUUAACAGUAAAAAUAAUUACAUAUCAAUUUGAUUUCUAAAAGAAUCAUUACUUUAUGAUUACGAUCAACACAUUUUUAAAGAAUGUACUUAAUUAUGGUUUAAAAACUAAUGAUAAUAAAGUGAAAGCGACUAAAACUUUGUUCAAAAACGAUGUUGACGAGGUAAAAUUAUUGAAACAAAUAAAUAUGGACUUGCCUGUAACUAAUGUCAUACGUCAAUCUAUGAAUUUCAUGUAUUUUCGAAAUUUUACAUAUAUUUUGUUUCAUACCAAACAUAUUUUUGUAAUGUUCUUUUAAUUUGUACUAUUAUUAGGAGGAUGCUAUUUUUGCAGAUUUUCAAUGUUAAACCAAAAGUUAUCAUUCUUUGAAUAGCCACUUAAUCUAUUGAAUUAUCAUCAUGGCUUUGAUUUUAUUAGGACAAAUUAGAUAAAAACUUUAUUAUUAUUUAAUAUAUGUUCUAUCUUAGCUAAUGGAAAUAUCUUAAACUAUAUUAUAUCAAAGUUUCUUGAUUUCUGCUUGCGAAGUUAUCUGAAAUACUCAUUAUUAUAAUUUGAAAUUUUUUUGUUAUCAUGUUCGACAACACUGAAGGUAAUUCCUUAAGAGCAAAAGAUAUAAUAAGAAUCCUUUGUUCACAUCUAGUACGUUUACAAUAUAGACAUGGCAUCUUUUUGGAUUCGAAUGUACAGUUUUGUAGUUUAUUUCUACCUGUAGUUACAUUGGUGAUGGUCGUAAUAAAAAUGUUAACAAACUUAAUUUACACAGUUGAUCCUUUAUACCAAAUGUGCUUACAGUUAUUCAGAUUUGUUUUAGAAAAACUUUUAAUUAUUAUCGAAGAACCAAACAAAAAACGGAAAGUGGUCCAAUUGUCUGUUCUGGUAGUUCAAUUAAGUGUACUGUAUAAAGUCAUUUCGUUUUUGAUAUGUAUUUUAAUGUGGCCGAUUUGGCCUUUUGGCUCAGAAUUUUUAUUCAUAGCCGUUAAAAUCGUAUUGUAUUUAUUCUAUUUAAUGUACUUAUGUAUUUAUUUGUUUUUGUAUAU